UGUAUUUAUUAGAUUAAAAACCAAUGCCCUUCGGGGCUCACUGGUGAUUCAUGAUAACUCCUCGAAUCGCAUGGCCUUGUGCCGGCGAUGGUUCAUUCAAAUUUCUUCCCUAUCAACUUUCGAUGUUUGGGUAUUGGCCAAACAUGGUUGCAACGGGUAACGGAGGGUUAGGGCUCGACCCCGGAGAAGGAGCCUGAGAAACGGCUACUACAUCCAAGGAAGGCAGCAGGCGCGCAAAUUACCCAAUCCCGACACGGGGAGGUAGUGACAAUAAAUACUGAUACAGGGCUCUUUUGGGUCUUGUAAUUGGAAUGAGUACAAUUUAAAUCCCUUAACGAGGAACAAUUGGAGGGCAAGUCUGGUGCCAGCAGCCGCGGUAAUUCCAGCUCCAAUAGCGUAUAUUAAAGUUGUUGCAGUUAAAAAGCUCGUAGUUGAAACUUGGGCCUGGCUGGCGGGUCCGCCUCACCGCGUGCACUCGUCCGGCCGGGCCUUCCUUCUGAAGAACCUCAUGCCCUUCACUGGGCGUGCUGGGGAACCAGG
rnacentral:rRNA from 1 species